GACGAACGCUGGCGGCGUGCUUAACACAUGCAAGUCGAACGGAAAGGCCCUGCUUUUGUGGGGUGCUCGAGUGGCGAACGGGUGAGUAACACGUGAGUAACCUGCCCUUGACUUUGGGAUAACUUCAGGAAACUGGGGCUAAUACCGGAUAGGAGCUCCUGCUGCAUGGUGGGGGUUGGAAAGUUUCGGCGGGUGGGGAUGGACUCGCGGCUUAUCAGCUUGUUGGGGGGGUAGUGGCUUACCAAGGCUUUGACGGGUAGCCGGCCUGAGAGGGUGACCGGCCACAUUGGGACUGAGAUACGGCCCAGACUCCUACGGGAGGCAGCAGUGGGGAAUAUUGCACAAUGGGCGGAAGCCUGAUGCAGCAACGCCGCGUGCGGGAUGACGGCCUUCGGGUUGUAAACCGCUUUCGCCUGUGACGAAGCGUGAGUGACGGUAAUGGGUAAAGAAGCACCGGCUAACUACGUG
rnacentral:rRNA from 1 species